rnacentral:piRNA from 1 species
UCCUCAGAUGAAUAUGAUGUUUCAGGAGGGC